CCCAGACUCCUACGGGAGGCAGCAGUGGGGAAUAUUGGGCAAUGGGCGCAAGCCUGACCCAGCAACGCCGCGUGAAGGAAGAAGGCUUUCGGGUUGUAAACUUCCUUUCUUGGGGACGAAGAAAGUGACGGUACCCAAGGAAUAAGCCCCGGCUAACUACGUGCCAGCAGCCGCGGUAAUACGUAGGGGGCAAGCGUUGUUCGGAAUGACUGGGCGUAAAGGGUGUGUAGGUGGUUUGAUAAGUUAGAUGUGUAAUACCCAGGGCUUAACUCGGGUGCUGCAUCUAAAACUGUUAGACUUGAGUACUGGAGAGGAUAGUGGAAUUCCUAGUGUAGCGGUGGAAUGCGUAGAUAUUAGGAGGAACAUCAGUGGCGAAGGCGACUAUCUGGACAGCAACUGACACUGAGGCACGAAAGCGUGGGGAGCAAACAGGAUUAGAUACCCCUGUA
rnacentral:rRNA from 1 species